rnacentral:rRNA from 1 species
UACGUAGGGGGCAAGCGUUGUCCGGAUUAUUGGGCGUAAAGAGCGUGUAGGCGGCUAUACAGGUCCGUUGUGAAAACUCGAGGCUCAACCUCGAGACGCCCGAUGGAAACCGUAUGGCUAGAGUCCGGAAGAGGAGAGCGGAAUUCCUGGUGUAGCGGUGAAAUGCGCAGAUAUCAGGAAGAACACCCGUGGCGAAGGCGGCUCUCUGGGACGGUACGUGACGCUGGAGACGCGAAAGCGUGGGGGAGCGAACAGG